rfam:Pygoscelis adeliae contig90590, whole genome shotgun sequence.
GUUGCUUUGUGGCCUUUUAGCUGAGAUUAAGCAUAGGAUCUGUUCUUAACCAGUUUAAUAUCUUACAGGUCCUCUCUGUGAGGACUCGCUAUUAAUGGCUGUGUGGAACUCGGAGGUGGCUUGCUUCGGUCACGCUAUCCAUCGCACCAGUACUGCAGUUCCUCCAGGAGCUGUACACCGUUC